rnacentral:rRNA from 1 species
UGGGGAAUAUUGGACAAUGGGCGAAAGCCUGAUCCAGCAAUUCCGCGUGUGUGAAGAAGGCCUUCGGGUUGUAAAGCACUUUAGUGGGGGAAGAAACAGCUUGGCCACACCAAGCCUUGACGGUACCCCAAGAAUAAGCACCGGCUAACUCUGUGCCAGCAGCCGCGGUAAUACAGAGGGUGCAAGCGUUAAUCGGAUUUACUGGGCGUAAAGGGUGCGUAGGUGGUUUUUUAAGUCGGAUGUGAAAGCCUGGGGCUCAACCUCAGAAUUGCAUUCGAUACUGGGAAACUAGAGUUCGGUAGAGGGCGGCGGAAUUUCCGGUGUAGCGGUGAAAUGCGUAGAUGUCGGAAGGAACAUCAAUGGCGAAGGCAGCCGCCUGGGCCUGGACUGACACUGAGGCACGAAAGCGUGGGUAGCAAACA